rnacentral:rRNA from 1 species
UGAGGAAUAUUGGACAAUGGAGGCAACUCUGAUCCAGCCAUGCCGCGUGCAGGAAGACGGCCCUACGGGUUGUAAACUGCUUUUAUACAGGAAGAAUUAUACCUACGUGUAGGUAUUUGACGGUACUGUAAGAAUAAGGAUCGGCUAACUCCGUGCCAGCAGCCGCGGUAAUACGGAGGAUCCAAGCGUUAUCCGGAAUUAUUGGGUUUAAAGGGUCCGUAGGCGGUUUUUUAAGUCAGAGGUGAAAUCCUGCAGCUCAACUGUAGCAUUGCCUUUGAUACUGAAAGACUUGAGUUAUUGUGAAGUAGUUAGAAUGUGUAGUGUAGCGGUGAAAUGCAUAGAUAUUACACAGAAUACCGAUUGCGAAAGCAGAUUACUAACAAUAUACUGACGCUGAGGGACGAAAGCGUGGGUAGCGAACAGG